GAUGAACGCUGGCGGCGUGCCUAAUACAUGCAAGUCGAGCGAACAGACGAGGAGCUUGCUCCUCUGACGUUAGCGGCGGACGGGUGAGUAACACGUGGAUAACCUACCUAUAAGACUGGGAUAACUUCGGGAAACCGGAGCUAAUACCGGAUAAUAUAUUGAACCGCAUGGUUCAAUAGUGAAAGACGGUUUUGCUUUCACUUAUAGAUGGAUCCGCGCCGCAUUAGCUAGUUGGUAAGGUAACGGCUUACCAAGGCGACGAUGCGUAGCCGACCUGAGAGGGUGAUCGGCCACACUGGAACUGAGACACGGUCCAGACUCCUACGGGAGGCAGCAGUAGGGAAUCUUCCGCAAUGGGCGAAAGCCUGACGGAGCAACGCCGCGUGAGUGAUGAAGGUCUUCGGAUCGUAAAACUCUGCUAUUAGGGAAGAACAAAUGUGUAAGUAACUAUGCACGUCUUGACGGUACCUAAUCAGAAAGCCACGGCUAACUACGUG
rnacentral:rRNA from 1 species